GUGAGACGGUGAAGAAGACCCCU
rnacentral:snRNA from 1 species